rnacentral:lncRNA from 1 species
CAGUCACUCUGGCCUCUUGCCUCUCUGGACCCCAUUAACUCCCUAUCCCCUUGGCAGCCAUUGUCACACCCUCAGCAACAUCCUGGUGAAAGACUGCUGAGCUCCUCGACCCACUCAUCUGCCAUUGCACGGUACUCAUAGCACUGGCAUCUCUCCUGGCAGCUCUGUCAGGAGGCAAUUUUACCUCCAUUUGUAAACUAUUAAGAAACAGCUCCUGGCUUCUCAUACUAAAUCAUAAUUUUUGAGAACAUUGAACCUGACUAGCUAUGUGAUCAGCAGCCCUGUGUCUCCUGGGGGAGGAACUUCACAGCUGCUGAUAGCCUCUCUGCAAGAAACUUCUGUAGAAAAGAAUGUAGAAAACCAAUACCAUCCCCUCCCUCAGAAGUGCAUAGUGAUACUCAGUGAUAGUCUGGGAAUCUCAUUGGCCACUUUCCAUCUUUCUCUGGUAUGCAAUGAAUGUUUGCAUUUUUGAAGGAAGACACUGUUAAUCUUAAGACUAAUAAAAUAACAUGCAGUUCCACAGGUUAUGGACUUUUAACAAAUGCAACUAAUCAUUUCUAAG